ACAACUGCAGAGCCGGGAGCAAGAAACUGAACACCGUGCAGCUCCACAGAGGCAAUCCAGGAUAGGCUUCUUUAUUUAGGAGUAAUAAUGGGAUGAGUGACAUGACGCGACUUGUAAAUGUUCCGAGCAGAGAGAGAGGAGGCAGGCAGGCAGAUAACUACAGGCUUUAGUUUGGAUCAAACAUCACAGGAAUCAAGGAGUCUUCUCUGAAACCAAGGAAUUCGGUUCCACUUUUGGUUUCCGGGCCAACCAGUGUGGACUCUGCAGGACUGCAUUUCUCAAACGCAGCUCUCAGAACUGAUAACUCCGGUAUAAACCAUUCUUUAGAAAGCAAGCAGGUACAUGUUGUCGUGACUAUCAAUAUCACGACUCAGGGUGAGAGUUUCACCUCUGCCAAGGAGUUCUGUUUUCACCUGUGUCCUUCCGGUUUGUCAGCAGGAUUACAGCAAAACUACUCAACCGAGCAGCAAUUUCCACGAAACUUGAAUGGAGAAUGGGUCUCGGUCCAGAGUAGACCCCAUUAACUGUUGGUGUUGAGCCAGAUAAAAGGAAGGAUCUAUUUAUUUUUUGUCAAACAUUGCAAGAUAUAAGAUCAUUUUCCAAACUUUUCAUUUUCUAAGGGAGAUAAUGUAUGCAUCCUGAUGAUUGUUUUAAAUUUAUCUGGGUAGCUGGUAUCUUAGAGUGAGCACAGUUUGAUGUUUACCUUACCAAAAGCAUUUUUUCUACAACACAAUGGGAUUCUGAUUCUAUUCGCCUUGUUUCUUUGUCCUGGAUGGCUGUUACAGGUCUGGCGAGCUUGAAUAAUGGGUGGUUGAAAACUUAAAGUGAUGCAGACCCAUCAAGUUUAAUACUGGAUUAAGCUUCAUUGAAUUAAAGGAGACUGUUGGGCCUUGGCUGAGGUAUGUGCUCUUCUGAGUGCCAUUCCAGAUUUUUUUUAAGUUGAAUAACUUUCAGUUUUUUGUUGAUUCUAGCAGCCCGUGAAGAUUUUGAUCCAGUCAGCGGAUACAUUUGUUAUGGAAUUUCCUUUUAGUUUCUGAACUAUAAGCUGUUAAACAUGCACCCAGGUCAAGGUUCAAAGGAAAUAAAAGAUAUGGCAGACAUGUUUGUUCCCCCUGCCAGAAAGUUGCUGGCCAUGUGAUGUGGACACAGUCAAUAAAAAAGUAUAGCCUAACGAAAUCAGAAGAAAACAAUUUAAGAGCCGUUACUGUGAAACUUCUACA